UUUAGAUCCUCUGCUGUGGGGAGAGGUUUCUUGGUGACAUGAUGGACAGCAGCCAAUCAAACUGCCAGGACCAGUUUCCUCUUCUCCAUAUAAAGAAAAUGCUGUGAGUAUACUUUCACAGUGGUCCCAAGAUUGUGUUAAUUUUAUGUGCCUACCUAUUAGCUGUUCUAAUCCCAAUAAAGACUGUAACCAUGGAACUUGGCUUAACGCUGA